GCCGGGGUGGCGGAAUGGCAGACGCGUUGGUCUCAAAAACCAAUAAAGGUAAACUUUGUGAGGGUUCGACUCCCUCCCCCGGCA
rnacentral:tRNA from 1 species